AGUGUGUACAUGCACAUGAUGUCAUUAUAGUUUGCCAGCUGGGAAGAGAUGCACAGGAACCCAUAGCAUCAAUAAGUACAGUGUGUCCUCAUAAAACU